AGAGUUUGAUCAUGGCUCAGGAUGAACGCUAGCGGCAGGCUUAACACAUGCAAGUCGAGGGGUAACAGGGAUUGCUUGCAAUCCGCUGACGACCGGCGCACGGGUGCGUAACGCGUAUGCAACCUACCUUCUACAGGGGGAUAGUCAAUAGAAAUGUUGAAUAAUACCCCAUACGAUCAUUAAUCUGCAUGGAUUGAUGAAGAAAGUUCCGGCGGUAGAAGAUGGGCAUGCGUCCUAUUAGUUAGUUGGUAAGGUAACGGCUUACCAAGACAUCGAUAGGUAGGGGUCCUGAGAGGGAGAUCCCCCACACUGGUACUGAGACACGGACCAGACUCCUACGGGAGGCAGCAGUGAGGAAUAUUGGACAAUGGAGGCAACUCUGAUCCAGCCAUGCCGCGUGCAGGAAGACUGCCCUAUGGGUUGUAAACUGCUUUUAUACAGGAAGAAUAGUACCUACGUGUAGGUAUUUGACGGUACUGUACGAAUAAGGAUCGGCUAACUCCGUGCCAGCCGCCGCGGUAAUAC
rnacentral:rRNA from 1 species